CGCCUCAGUAGAACGCUAAGCGUGCAGGAGGCAGAGAGGGCCUGAGAGCAGGAACUGACAGGGAUGGAGUUGCUCUGGGAGAGGGAGAGGCAUUGAGAACCUCUUCAUAGGAAUCCGAGUCUGUGCAAUGAAGUGGCUCACGGUCUCCACCACAUCUGAGAACACCUCCUUCUUUCCUGUCUCUGGGAUCACCCAAGGCCACGCCGGUGCCACGGUGGCAGGAGAGUUGGUGACGUCGUUGACCGGCAAGCAGGUCAGGGACGGGGGAAGAGCGACAUUGGUCCAGACUCCAAAGUCAGCGUUUUGCACCUAGUUUGAAUGACUCAAACUCAGAUAUGUACAAG
rnacentral:lncRNA from 12 species